rnacentral:rRNA from 1 species
AUUGAACGCUGGCGGCAGGCCUAACACAUGCAAGUCGAACGGCAGCGGGGACUUCGGUCCGCCGGCGAGUGGCGAACGGGUGAGUAAUGUAUCGGAACGUACCUUUCAGUGGGGGAUAACGUAGCGAAAGUUACGCUAAUACCGCAUAUUCUCUGAGGAGGAAAGCAGGGGACCUUCGGGCCUUGUGCUGAUGGAGCGGCCGAUAUCAGAUUAGCUAGUUGGUGAGGUAAAGGCUCACCAAGGCGACGAUCUGUAGCGGGUCUGAGAGGAUGAUCCGCCACACUGGGACUGAGACACGGCCCAGACUCCUACGGGAGGCAGCAGUGGGGAAUUUUGGACAAUGGGCGCAAGCCUGAUCCAGCCAUGCCGCGUGAGUGAAGAAGGCCUUCGGGUUGUAAAGCUCUUUCGGACGGGAAGAAAUUGGUGGGGCUAAUAUCCCCAUCGGAUGACGGUACCGUAAUAAGAAGCACCGGCUAACUACGUGCCAGCAGCCGCCGUAAUAC